rnacentral:rRNA from 1 species
GAUGAACGCUGGCGGCGUGCCUAAUACAUGCAAGUCGAGCGAACAGAUGAGGAGCUUGCUCCUCUGACGUUAGCGGCGGACGGGUGAGUAACACGUGGAUAACCUACCUAUAAGACUGGGAUAACUUCGGGAAACCGGAGCUAAUACCGGAUAAUAUAUUGAACCGCAUGGUUCAAUAGUGAAAGACGGUUUUGCUGUCACUUAUAGAUGGAUCCGCGCCGCAUUAGCUAGUUGGUAAGGUAACGGCUUACCAAGGCAACGAUGCGUAGCCGACCUGAGAGGGUGAGCGGCAACACUGGAACUGAGACACGGUCCAGACUCCUACGGGAGGCAGCAGUAGGGAAUCUUCCGCAAUGGGCGAAAGCCUGACGGAGCAACGCCGCGUGAGUGAUGAAGGUCUUCGGAUCGUAAAACUCUGUUAUUAGGGAAGAACAAAUGUGUAAGUAACUAUGCACGUCUUGACGGUACCUAAUCAGAAAGCCACGGCUAACUACGUG